rnacentral:rRNA from 1 species
GUCUAGUAAAGCACUUUAUACUGUGAAACUGCGAAUGGCUCAUUAAAUCAGUUAUCGUUUAUUUGAUAGUACCUUACUACAUGGAUACCUGUGGUAAUUCUAGAGCUAAUACAUGCUGAAAACCCCAACUUCGGAAGGGGUGUAUUUAUUAGAUAAAAAACCAAUGCCCUUCGGGGCUCCUUGGUGAAUCAUAAUAACUUAACGAAUCGCAUGGCCUUGCGCCGGCGAUGGUUCAUUCAAAUUUCUGCCCUAUCAACUUUCGAUGGUAGGAUAGUGGCCUACCAUGGUGGCAACGGGUAACGGGGAAUUAGGGUUCGAUUCCGGAGAGGGAGCCUGAGAAACGGCUACCACAUCCAAGGAAGGCAGCAGGCGCGCAAAUUACCCAAUCCCGACACGGGGAGGUAGUGACAAUAAAUACUGAUACGGGGCUCUUUUGGGUCUCGUAAUUGGAAUGAGUACAAUCUAAAUCCCUUAACGAGGAACAAUUGGAGGGCAAGUCUGGUGCCAGCAGCCGCGGUAAUUCCAGCUCCAAUAGCGUAUAUUAAAGUUGUUGCAGUUAAAAAGCUCGUAGUUGAACCUUGGGUCUGGCUGACCGGUCCGCCUCACCGCGAGUACUGGUCCGGCUGGACCUUUCCUUCUGGGGAACCCCAUGGCCUUCACUGGCCGUGGGUGGGAACCAGGACUUUUACUGUGAAAAAAUUAGAGUGUUCAAAGCAGGCCUUUGCUCGAAUACAUUAGCAUGGAAUAAUAGAAUAGGACGUGCGGUUCUAUUUUGUUGGUUUCUAGGACCGCCGUAAUGAUUAAUAGGGAUAGUCGGGGGCGUCAGUAUUCAGCUGUCAGAGGUGAAAUUUCUUGGAUUUGCUGAAGACUAACUACUGCGAAAGCAUUCGCCAAGGAUGUUUUCAUUAAUCAGGGAACGAAAGUUAGGGGAUCGAAGACGAUCAGAUACCGUCGUAGUCUUAACCAUAAACUAUGCCGACUAGGGAUCGGGCGGUGUUUCUAUUAUGACCCGCUCGGCACCUUACGAGAAAUCAAAGUU